rnacentral:rRNA from 1 species
GACGAACGCUGGCGGCGUGCUUAACACAUGCAAGUCGAACGGAAAGGCCCUGCUUUUGUGGGGUGCUCGAUUGGCGAACGGGUGAGUAACACGUGAGUAACCUGCCCUUGACUUUGGGAUAACUUCAGGAAACUGGGGCUAAUACCGGAUAGGAGCUCCUGCUGCAUGGUGGGGGUUGGAAAGUUUCGGCGGUAGGGGAUGGACUCGCAGCUUAUCAGCUUGUUAGUGGGGUAGUGGCUUACCAAGGCUUUGACGGAUAGGCGGCAUGAGAGGGUGACCGGGCACCUUAGGACUGAGGUACGGAGCAGACGGCUACGGGACGCAGCGGUCGGGAGUCUGGCGCAGUGGCGGCGCGUGUGAUACAGAAACCUCGGGUGCGUGAUGAUCGCUUAUUGGUUAAAAACCAAUGUGUAAUGAGCUGAACACGGAGUGACGGUACUGAGUCAAGAAGCCACGGCUAACUACGUG